rnacentral:lncRNA from 1 species
UUGCGUAUUAUCUCUAAGUUCUUUCGGUCCGUUCUUAUGAUCCCCGACUUUGUGUAUUAGCUCAAAGUUCUUUCGGUUCGUUUUUAUGAUCCCCGACUUUGCGUAUUAGCUCUAAGUUCUUUCAGUCCGUUUUUAUGAUCCCCGAUUUUGCGUAUUAUCUCUAAGUUCUUUUGGUCCGUUCUUAUGAUCCCCGACUUUGUGUAUUAGCUCUAAGUUCUUUCGGUCCGUUUUUAUGAUUCCCGACUUUGCGUAUUAGCUCUAAGUUCUUUCGGUCCGUUUUUAUGAUCCCCGAUUUUGCGUAUUAGCUCUAAGUUCUUUUGGUCCGUUUUUAUGAUCCCGGAAUUUGGGUAUAAGCUCAAAAUUCUUUCAUUCGGUUUUUAUGAUCCCCGACUUUGCGUAUUA